AUUGAACGCUGGCGGCAGGCCUAACACAUGCAAGUCGAGCGAGCGGCGGACGGGUGCGUAAUGUCUGGGAAACUGCCUGAAGGAGGGGGAUAACUACUGGAAACGGUAUCUAAUACCGCAUACCAUCAGAUGUGCCCAGAUGGGGUUAGCUGGUCGGUGGGGUAACGGCUCACCUAGGCGACGAUCCCUAGCUGGUCUGAGAGGAUGACCAGCCACACUGGAACGGAGACACGGUCCAGACUCCUACGGGAGGCAGCAGGGGGGAAUAUUGCACAAUGGGCGCAAGCCUGAUGCAGCCAGGCCGCGUGUGUGAAGAAGGCCUUCGGGUUGUAAAGCACUGUCAGCGGGGAGGCGUUACCCGCAGAAGAAGCACCGGCUAACUACGUGCCAGCAGCCGCGGUAAUUC
rnacentral:rRNA from 1 species